CCCAGGGUUGAGGUAAUAGGGAAAAUGGUUUUGUAACUCGUUUGUUAGGAAUGUAAAAGUAUUUCCGCGUAGAAGCAGGGUCACUCCGUGGAAAGUAGUCUGGUUAGGCCACAUGACUACUUUAGGCCGCCAUUAGGUUAAACUGUACUACUGGUAAUUUCAUCCUCGGCCCCGGGAGUUGCCAGUCCUGGGCCUCACAGGACACGUAGGCAAACAGUUCAGUAGUUCCAGUUUGUCUCUGACUGGGUCUGACCCAUGUCCAUUCUUAAAGGGCCCCAGACGUCGGACUGCUGUUUACGGCUCUGGUCAAUCCUCAAGAGCAGAUUCGUCACUUUUCUUUGAGGGCCCUUCUGCCGAAUGUCAAACUCUUAUAACUGACAGUUCACCCAAUUGGAGGACUCUUGAGAGCCUUUCUGCAGCGAUUAUUCCAAGAGAAGCAGGGAAGGUUAACUGGGAGCUCCUCUUCCGAGGAUGCGACAAGCGGCUCCGGGGCAGGCGGUGGAGGUCCUCAGACACCACCAAGGUUCUCAUCUGGGCCGCUUCCUAGAAGUACAGAUUCCUAAGGCUGCACCUCCCCGAGAUCCAGUUCCCUAGAUUUUCGGACGAGGCCAAGGAAUCUUAUUUUUACAGAAGCUUAUGAUAAAGGGCAUCAACGGGAAAACCUACUUAAUGGUUAAAGCCUCAGUUUCUACAACUGCCCGAGAUAGUAAAUUGCUCUGAACCCCUCACCAUUUUGCUUCUUGGGAAUACAUUGUUUUGUCAAUCUUGUUCUUAAAAGCCAUCUCCCAAUAUCUGAUAUCUCCAUGAUUACACAGCUACCAGAAUUGACCCUGAUCUCAUGGGCAUGGGCGAGCGAGGUGAGGAGUUCACAGAAUGCAAAGUCAUCUUUUACAAGCAAGCUUGUAUGCUAUUCCCAGGUUUGUGAUUCUGGCUCCACAUCGGCCACAAAGAGGCAGCAGGCAGCACAAAAUACAUUUAAAAUUUAGCACAUGCAUUCUGCUAAAAUUGAAAGUUUUUAUUCAGAGAUUGAGUCAGUUCUGAGAAAAUGGUUAAUAAAAUAAUGAAAAUCUCCAUGGCAGCUUUCUCCAAACUGACAUUGCAGAGGAUAUUUUAAUAACAGCUAGAAAUUUGCUAUUCUGCUGUUGGCAACUCCUAGCCUCAAGAAAUUCAGCAUCAUGGAGAAUAAUGCUUUUUCUCUCCACAAUCCGUAAGGUUGUUUGCAGAUAUAAGCCUCCAAGCCAUGUCACCAUUUUCCAAAGUGAUAAAGAAAAAGAUGAACAUCUGUAUAAAGUCAGACAGGAAUCACUGGGGUCAACCAGACACAGAGUAUUGAGUUACACGGGUACAGCCUGAAUUACGUGCAGUAACAUUUGAUUUUUUUUUUGUAUUAUCAGGGAUGUUUCACUUAAGUAAAUUUCCAUUUUACUGAAGCUUAAACCUAUAAGCACCAGCACAUUUUAGACCUUUUAUUGAUGACUUGAGGUCUUUUCUAUAAACUCAUGGUGCAAUGCCUCCAGGAUUAAUGAACUGCUAAGGAUUAUUUGGUCUACACUUGAACGUCUACUGAAUCAUUUGGUUUUUCAUAUGGUCUCCUCGUCAGCUGCCCUUCUUGGUUGUCAACAUACCCAUUUCUAGCAGCAUCCCUAUAAAUAUAACUACUUCCAUUUUGUUAUGGGCUGGAUGACCAAAUCACCAAAUUUAGUGGAAUUUGUCAAAAUUGUUUCUAAAGAAAUGUGUGUUUUAGGGACUAAAACAUUUUCUUGUGAAUAAAACAAUGAAACUCUGGUUAAUGGUGCUUGAUAUAUUGUAGCAGCCUAAAGACCUCUCAUCAAUUCUUACUUCUCCAGCCACAUUAUUCAGGUACUGUAUAUAACAAUUCACCUACCUCAUUCAGUUCUCAAAUAGACUCCAAAGGGUGGGGGUAAGUGUCAAGACCAUGUCUCCCAAUAAAGUCUUGCUAGUUUUGAUGAGAUCCGAAUCUGCUGCUUAGAAGACUGAAGAAUAUAGAGAAGAAGAUUGAGUCUUGGCAUCUCAAGACCAAGUCCUUGAUCAACUUAUACCUCAGGUAAAGAUGUGAAGCCAGUUACUUACUCCAUCUUGAAAGACAUGAGACUCUUCAUUGCUGUCUCCUCCCUUCCAGAGCUGUGAAGAAACAGCCUGCAGUACUUUACAAACUCACCAGGUAAAUCUCCCAUCACUGCUUGGUAUAGAGGAAAAGAAAAAGAAAAUCUCCCAAUUGGAGUUUCUAUUAAACUAGAGGUUAAACAGGUCUGUAUUGGCAAAUACCAACCAUCUUUAGUUUGAAUUGCUUGUCGACUCAAAGUUCAGCCAAAGUAAUGUGAAUUUAGGGAAUUGCAGUCCAUUAAUGAUGAUCGCUUCCUUCCAAGCAAUUCUGCUCACAGCGUUUGGGGAACAGGAUAAAUACUUGGUUUGUAGCAUAAGAAAUCCAGUUUGCAAAGAUAGUCCUCUCUGAGGCAUCUCUGCAGUAAAUACUUGCUCUAAAUCUCAGUCAACACAACCUAUUCUAAUAGUAUUUUAAGUACAAAACUUGACAACAUGAUUCUAGAGUCAAUUUGAAAAAACAGGUGACCAUAAAGAACAUUCUAAAAAGAACACUGAAGAUAAAGGAGAGUAAUUUGAUUGCCUGGGGCACUGUGGCAUUCAUUUCUUUUGAAACCUAUCAAAAGCUGUUAAGUAUAUGCCCAAACUUUGACCUAGUAAUCCCACUUCCAUACAAUUUUUUCAAAGAAAAAAAGAAUUAUAUGUAGAAAGGGAUUCAUUGUAUCAUUAUUUUAUAACAGAGAAAAUUGGAAACAAUAAGCAAACAAGGUAAUGGUUAAUAAAUAUUACAUCAAGUUGGUAAAAUGUUAUGUAAACAUUAAUAUAAACUAGGAAGAAACAGAUAACAUGGGAAAAUAUUACAAUGUUAAUUUUUUAAAGCUGAUAUAAUCUCAUGUUAUGUUCCAUUUAUGUUCAAAUAUGUAAUGCAUAGAUCAGAAGGGAGUAAGAAAUAAAUUUGGUUAAGGGGAUUCUCCUCAAACUGUAUUUAAUGUUGUAAUGUCUUUAUAAUUUUUUUUACGUAUCAAUUAUGUUUUAUCUCAGCCACAGACUGGUAUACCUGUCGCCAAGGUCAGUAACAUUAAGGUUCCUCCAAAACUGACUGCUUGGUCAUUCCAUCUAUUUUUCACUUUCUCCAAAUCCUAAAAUUAGACUCAAAGCAAAGCAAAGCUGAAAUACCAUGCAAGUCAUUUUGAAUGGAUUUUGGAGGCAGAGGGAUGGGAAGAGAAGAGGAUAUCGUGUUAGAAUUUACAUGACUGAUUCCAGCUAUUACUGCUUUGAGUCCUGUGGCAUGCCACUAAACCUGAAAAUAAGAAGAGAUGCUCAUACCCUGCAGAGACUAAGCAGUCACUCAAGUCUGAAGAUGUGAAAAGCCAUGUAAGAAUACCUGGGUACAGAAUGUCAUUGAGGCUGCAUAUUUGAGGGGGUGGACAACUUAAUGAUAAGCAAUAGACAGAUCCCCCGUUUUUAGGCCUUUUCUACAUUUAAGGCACCAGGGAGUCAAGAACAGAAAUGGAAUCCUACCUGGAGUGAGGGAAGUGGCCGAGGCUGACAAUGCCGUGUCCAGAGGCAUGCAGUGCUGGCCCCUAAAUGAAUGCCCCCACCUCGUAUGUCCAGGCAGCAGCCAAGCAGACCUGCAUUUGACAGCAGAGACAUAAACCUAAGUAAGGGAGACACUGUUUGUGAUUUCAAACGUGAAGACGGGGACUGAGUUAUAUAAAAUUCUUGUAAAACACGUGGACAAAAUCAACCAAGUUAUUUUAUUUUAACCGCAAGUAUUUAUUGAUGGAUCAAAGAAUACAAUUUUAAUGGAACAAUAAGGCACAACUGUGGAUUGAAACAGUUUACUAUACAGCCAAAAGGAGGAAAAAGCCAUAAUCUUAGGAAUUUUAAAUAUGCAAGUCAAGGAGCCUCUGAAGUACCUCUCUAACAGAUCAGUGUCAGGUAAGUCUUCCCUUUUAUACAAUUCCUAUAUUACAUCACUUGAUCACAAAGUCAGACUGAUACUUCAUCAAGAAUUCCUCGGUCAUUUAUACUUGAGUCAUCCAGCCGGGCCACUCCUCUGGGCCCCACUCUUCCCAAUCCCUUUGCAGUUUUUUUUUUUCAGCAAUUCCCUUCCUAAAGUAAUGUGUAUACAUCUCAGAUAGCCUUCCAAAGCAAGGAAACAAGUAAGCGAGCAAUAAGUCCCAGAAAAUCAGCCAGGGCAGAUAUAUGGAUGGACAGACUCAUAAAGACAGACAUGAGGAUGACAGCAGCCUGAUUCAACGAGGUCUACAGUGAGCUGACUUGGGCAGAGAAGUUGCUCUGGCUCAUGCAAAGGCCUGUAAUGCCACCUCAGGUUGUACAACCAGUGCCAGACCCCUUGUUUCUAAGGGGUUAGCAGUGGUCCACGAGAGGAGCUAGGAAGUCAGUGUGACCAGGCAGCUGAUGGUACAAUACAUUCAAUGCUUUGGACCUGUAUUAGGAGCUGA